AAUUGUGUGAGGAGUAAGUGUAAAAGAGAAAGACUUUGGGGUCGAAACACGGCAAGACUCCCAAGGUCUUUUUCAU
rfam:Stanieria cyanosphaera PCC 7437, complete genome.